ACCUGGCUGGCUCAGUCAGAAGAGCAGGUGACUCUUGAUCUCAGGACUGUGAGUUUGAGCCCCAUGUUGGGUG
rfam:Felis catus breed Abyssinian Contig242709.1, whole genome shotgun sequence. [26-MAY-2016]